rnacentral:rRNA from 1 species
CGGAGGAAAAGAAACUAACAAGGAUUCCCUUAGUAACGGCGAGUGAACCGGGAAAAGCUCAAAUUUGUAAUCUGGCUGUCUUCGAUAGUCCGAGUUGUAAUCUAUAGACGUGUUUUCCGUGCUGGACCGUAUCUAAGUCCCUUGGAACAGGGUAUCAAAGAGGGUGACAAUCCCGUGCUUGAUACGACCACCAGUGCUCUGUGAUACACGCUCUACGAGUCGAGUUGUUUGGGAAUGCAGCUCAAAAUGGGUGGUAAAUUCCAUCUAAAGCUAAAUAUUGGCGAGAGACCGAUAGCGAACAAGUACCGUGAGGGAAAGAUGAAAAGCACUUUGGAAAGAGAGUUAAACAGUACGUGAAAUUGUUGAAAGGGAAACGAUUGAAGUCAGUCGUGUUCUUUGGAUUCAGCUAGUUCUUCUAGUCUACUUCCUUUGAACGGGUCAACAUCAGUUUUGUCCGGUGGAUAAAGAUAGUAGGAAUGUAGCUCCCUCGGGAGUGUUAUAGACUAUUAUUGCAUGCACUGGGUGAGACUGAGGACUGCAGCUCGCCUUUUGGCCGGCCUUCGGGUACGUUCGAGCUUAGGAUGUUGACAUAAUGGCUUUAAACGACCCGUCUUGA